rnacentral:rRNA from 1 species
GAUGAACGCUGGCGGCGUGCCUAAUACAUGCAAGUCGAGCGAACAGACGAGGAGCUUGCUCCUCUGACGUUAGCGGCGGACGGGUGAGUAACACGUGGAUAACCUACCUAUAAGACUGGGAUAACUUCGGGAAACCGGAGCUCAUACCGGAUAAUAUAUUGAACCGCAUGGUUCAAUAGUGAAAGACGGUUUUGCUGUCACUUAUAGAUGGAUCCGCGCCGCAUUAGCUAGUUGGUAAGGUAACGGCUUACCAAGGCAACGAUGCGUAGCCGACCUGAGAGGGUGAUCGGCCACACUGGAACUGAGACACGGUCCAGACUCCUACGGGAGGCAGCAGUAGGGAAUCUUGCGCAAUGGGCGAAAGCCUGACGGAGCAACGCCGCGUGAGUGAUGAAGGUCUUCGGAUCGUAAAACGCUGUUAUUAGGGAAGAACAAAUGUGUAAGUAACUAUGCACGUCUUGACGGUACCUAAUCAGAAAGCCACGGCUAACUACGUG